ACAGCAGUCGCCGCGGUAAUACGGAGGAUCCAAGCGUUAUCCGGAAUCAUUGGGUUUAAAGGGUCCGUAGGCGGUCUUGUAAGUCAGUGGUGAAAGCCCAUCGCUCAACGGUGGAACGGCCAUUGAUACUGCAGGACUUGAAUUAUUGGGAAGUAACUAGAAUAUGUAGUGUAGCGGUGAAAUGCUUAGAGAUUACAUGGAAUACCAAUUGCGAAGGCAGGUUACUACCAAUUGAUUGACGCUGAUGGACGAAAGCGUGGGUAGCGAACAGGAUUAGAUACCCCCGUAGUCCCUGUCUCUUAUAC
rnacentral:rRNA from 1 species